UAAAACUCAGAUGACUGGUGAGGCGUGUCGUUUUGCCGGGCAAGCGAGCCAGAACCCUCCCUCCCAUGUCCGGACGCCGGUCAAAGCUUCUUCGCCGUUCUCAGUAAGCUAGAAACAAGUGAACUUACACCUACUCUCGACUGGAGUUCCCAUCUCCGGUGCGCUUUUUGGGGCCCUCCCUGUUCAACAUUGCCGCGUCCCCGCCGAUGGGUACCAUUCCCGAGUCAGUGCUCCUACCUCCAAAUUCCGACUGAGGCUGUAACUUCUAAUGGAGAUAUUGCAUGGCAAUCAAACAUACUGAUAUAAUUGGACUGGAGGCGUCCGCUACGCUCCCAGCCAUCCAAGUGUAAAUCGCGGACCCCCCCGGCAGUUAUUGAGUGAACUCUUUACCAACGUAUCACAACAAAGACAACUCAUAACGAGUUUAGUCUAAUCCGGCUGCCCCUCGUCGGUAUCCCGAGUUAAGUGCGACGCCCUGCCCCUGACCUUGCCCCUGGCCUUGCCCCUGGCCUUGCCCCUGGCCUUGCCCCUGGCCCUUCCCCUCGCCCUGCCCCUGGCCCUGCCCCUGGCCCUGCCCCUGGCCCUGCCCCUGAACCUGCCCCUGUCACGCCCAUCCCAGGCUGCAUCAAGUUCCUUUGAACUGUCAUAUCUACCCAACCCCUGCGAGGUUCACAAAAUGGAAAGCGGGAGCGUGCUUGGCUUGGCGAGACCUGCGCGCCGGUGUGCCUACCUCAGAACUCGAUAAGUGCGACGCCCUGCCCCUGACCUUGCCCCUGGCCCCUCCCCUGGCCCUGCCCCUGGCCCUGACCCUGUGACGCCCAUCUGACGGCUUAGAGCUUGAUCCUCACCUGUCCCUCCGUUGUAUGAGCGGACAAGCUUUGCAAGCUUGAGGGGGGGCGUAGCUCAGCUAAAGAUGAUAGAUUCACGUAGGGCUGAUGUGAAGGAGCGGUGUGUUGUGCUGUGACGCCCGCGGGGCCCUGCGGGCGAGUAACGCGCCCCUAGUAUUCUCAUGUGUGGAUGGCGGGAGGCAGGCGCGGCGCGAAUGGCGGGGCUGAGUGAAGGUGCGGUGUGGCGAGCGUGUGUGUGUGGUGCCCGCGGGGCUCAUCAGUUCGGCUGGGUGCGGAGGAUGCCGCUCUGGGGACGGGCGUGUGUGAUGCUGUGACGCCCGGGACGCCCAAGAGGCGGGCAUCACGCCCCUAGUGUACUUGUGUGUGGAUGGCCGGAGGCAAGCGUGGCGCAGAUGAUGGUGUGGCGUGAAGGUGUGGUGUGGUGAGCGUGGGCGGCGCGCGCUAUUGCACUUGUGUGUGGAUGGCCGGAGGCAGACGCGGCGUGAAUGGUGAAGACUGAAUGAAGGCGCGGUGCGGUGAGCGUGUGUGAUGCUUUAAAAGCACGCAGCGCGCCAGCGCCAUUAAGUUGGGCGGUGCACCUCUAGUGUAUUUGUAAGGUGCCGCGUGGGGCACAAAAUCACAAAUGGUGGUGUGGUGGUGGGCGUUGCGUGCAUGCGUGGGCAUAGAGGGAGUUCGCAAGUGUCAUGAGCUGCGCUCUGGUGAGGCAUGAGAGGGCCCCUGGUGUGAUGUGUGUGUGCGACGGAGGGCAGGCGUCGUGCAGAUGGUGUUGUCGCGUGAACAUGCGGUGCGGCGAGCGUGUGUGGUGCUGUGACGCCCGCGGGGCCAGAGGCGGGCGGGGCGCCCCUGGAGUACUCAUGUCUGGAUGGCGGGGGGGCGCGCAGGCGUGGCGCGAAUGGCGGGGUGUGUGAUGAGACAGUGGCAAGGCAGGUUGGUAAAGUCCCUUAGGGCGCAGCUAAUUCCCAUGCCCAACAAAUGGCAAACAAUUGGCAGAGGCAGGGCAAGAGUGCGCGGCUGGUCUAACGCCGGAGUUACUGUACCGAGUUACUGUACCGAGUUACUGUACCGAGUUACUGUACCGACGAGUUGCUGGCUGGCCUUCCUCCCACAGUGUGGUGCUGUGACGUCCGUGGCGCCCCUCCGUUGGGCUGGGUGCGGGGGAUGCCGCCCAUUCUGAGGUAGGCACACCGGCGCACAGGUCGCGCCAAGCCAAGCACGCUCCCGCUUUCCAUUUUGUGAACCUCGCAGGGGUUGGGUAGAUAUGACAGUUCACAGGAACGUGAUGCAGCCCCGCAGGCUGUUUGGGUGGGGGUGGAGGCGGGUUGGGGCCGGAGGUCGGGAAAUCGAGUUCUGAGGUAGGCACACCGGCGCACAGGUCUCGCCAAGCCAAGCACGCUCCCGCUUUCCAUUUUGUGAAUCUCGCAGGGGUUGGG
rnacentral:lncRNA from 1 species